rnacentral:rRNA from 1 species
AUGGUUGCCUACGCCCGCCGCUCCAGGGCGCCGGGGCGCCCGCACUUCGCCCUCGACGCCCACCCUUGCGAGCAAGAGCUCAUCGCGGCGUACCUUGGCCCGCGAGUCACCGAGGGCGACAUGUCGUGCAAGUUCAUCCACGAAGGCGACGUCUACGCCGCCCACCCUGAGGACCUCACGCAGCAGUACGCCGCGGCCGUCGCCAGCAACGGCGACGAGGCGUGGUACUUCUUCACCGCCGUGCGGGCCAAAGGCGGCGGCCGCAGGGGGCGCACGGUGGACUCCCAGGAGGGGUGCUGGCACUCCGAGGCCGGCUCCAAGCCCGAGGUCUCGGCGCACCACCACGGCGGAGGCCUCCUGGGGCAUCGCCAGAACUUCUCGUUCGUCACCAAGGAGGACGGCGUGCGGGUCCGCUCAGGGUGGCUCAUGGUGGAGCUCGGCCUGCACGGCGACGGCCAGGACGAGGUCACCCUCUGCAAGGUCUACUUCAGCCCGCGCGCCGCCAAGAACAACAAGAAACCCGCCGCGUCGUCGUCCGCGCGCAAGAGGAAGGCCGACGCCGGCAGCCCUGCCCCGGCGCGCCAAUGCCGCCGCCGCCGUGAAAUGAACCAGGAUGAUCAUCCGGUGGAGAAACAAGCCGUGAAGGCCGGCAAACAAGAGGGGUUUGUCGAGGAGAGCUCGGCGGACGAGCCCGAGGUUGUGGAUCCGAAUGACUUCUUUUGGUGGGUGCGGAACAAGGAGAAGCUGAGGCUGGCAUUGGGCAUCAGCGAGGAAGACUUCUACCGGCCCCCAUCUGCGGCUGCCUUGGAAAGAAGUUUCGGGCCGGACUGGCCGCCGGCUGCACCACCUUCCAGCCCCGUCGUUCCCAACGAGGACAAGCCCGUGGUCAUGUGGUUGACGUACGAGGAACUGCACGGUCUGCCGGAGGUCAGAGAGUUCUUGUCGCCCACCAAGUUGCUGGAGGAGAUGAGAUCGUCUGUCAAGCAACACGAGUAG